rnacentral:lncRNA from 1 species
AUGAAGAACGAGGAAGAGGAAGAUGAAGAUGAAAUCUUUACCACAUUUCAGGGAGGAUAUGAAGGGCAGGAAGAUGUGGAGGAGCAGGAGGAAGACGAGCAAGAGGAAGAGGAUCCAGAGGCUGAGAGGAAGAGCAGUUGGGAUGUCCCAAUUCCAAGUCAAUCACUGGCUGGUCGCAGAGCUUCACUUCCAUGUCCGGCUCAGCUGAAUGCGAUGCAUCUGAGCCGUCUGCAUGCUGCAACCACGAGCCCUAGCCCGGCGUACCUGAGCCACUGGCUUCAGAGCGGUGAGGCGAGGCCGUGCUCUCGCUCCAGCCAUGUUGCCAAUAGUGAGGAGGGAACGCACCCCAAGAGCAGCUUGUGUGAAAGACACCCGCAUGCCAUCCAAACCAUCCCUGAGGUGCAUGAGCCUCUGGAGAGAAAAGCUCGUUUUAGGAGCCGCAAUGUCAUGUCUCUGGUUGGUGUGAUAUGAUUUUGCUUUUUUUAAUUGGUAAAAAUGUGUAUGAUUAACGAUAGGUUAUGCAAUCUCAAGAGCAUUUAGAUGAAUAUAAGAUCAUUUUAAUGUUAUGAUACAAUGCUUUGGCAAGGCUAGAGAAAUCUGAGACUAUAUCAGUGAAAGUACAAGAUAUAGUUUUACCGUUAACCCUACCUCCUCUUUUUUUUUUUUUUUUUUUACUUUUCGUAUCAAGUAUGUUUGAAUAUUUUGUUUAGAUCGGGGGUGUCCAAACUCGGUCCUGGGGGCUCGUUCUUCUCGUUCAUGAAUACAGAUCAUGCAUCACUGUCAACUUUCAUGAUCUCUUUAGCAUAACUGAUGUAGUCAUGAAGAAGCCCCAUCAGCACAUGUGACAUCUUUUCCAUCAUCCAGGGCAGCGUCCUCCUUUAAAACCACUGUUGCAUCAGUUUAGGGGAAAGGACAUUCUCUUCUUUGACCAGCAUUCAUCCCAGUCACCGCCUGUUCUUCAUCAGUGGCCUAAAAAGAGAAACACAUUUGAAAAAAGAAAACAUUUAAUUAAACUAUCCAUUUUCAGAUAGAGGUGUAUUCACAUCAGUAAGGAGAGGUAAAUACUCUGUAUUUAUGAGGUUUGAAAAUACUGACUAUCUAGACUAUAAAUGGAUUAACAAAAAUCUGAGAAAAUUCAAAAUAUAUUCAUUUGUAUUCUAAAGACAGACAAAAGUCGUAUAGGUUUGGAAUGACAUGAGGGCAAGUAAAUGAUUUUUUGUGUGAACUAUUCCCUUAAGAGGGAAGACCAAGAAUGAUGACUCUCCAAAUCAGACAACUCCAAAGUUGGUUUGAGUUCUGCAAUGAAAAACAGACAUCGAUGGUUUUAAUAAAAUGAGCACAUAAUCACACUGUUGUUGCAUCAAAAUGUGAAGUAAAGAGACAGGAGACAACAGAAACAUUAAUUUUGCUAAAAAUAACUUACAUAAAUCUCAAAAGAAUGAUGCUCUCCUAUGUCUCUGGCUUUCAGCAUCUACAAAAACAAACAUUUUAGUCUUAGUAAAAAAAAAGAUAACUUAUAAUUCUUAAGUUCACUUGCCUUAAACCCGUCUGUCCCUCUCUUCAGAAGAAGCUGAGAACACCGCCUCCUCCUCACACAGUCUGUGUCUCCUCACAAGAGCAGGUGUCUUUAACUGUCGGCGCGGGGACAAUGAAGACACGAGCUCAACAAGUCUGAAAUAUUACACGUAAAACAUACUUUUAACAAUUACCACUUCAACAGCCUCAAAAUAAUCAUGCUAGUCUUUAUUACAUAACGCGGUUUCCUUUAGGAAACUAACGUACAUUCAGUUUAACCGCGAAAAAUAAGAUAAAUUAACAUGAGUGUAACCGUAACCAUAACCGUCUAUUAACACCUCAAAACGUGCAGAUAUUGUAAAAUAUUAUGUAAAUAUGACAUAAGACACUCACGGACGUUAUAUUAAAAGUACCUCUUCCGUUCAGUAACGUUAAAGAAGGCCGUUAAGACCUCCGUUUCUGAGGCGAAAACCGCGUCCGCGAAUGUUUCUAUAUAACGUUCAACUCUUUUGUUUCCGCCUUUCAUAAAACCUUCCGACUUUCAUAAAACCGGGUAAACAAUAAACGAUAAUUAUACAUUUUGAAUCUUUACUUACCGUAAUGUCUUUCACUCGCUUCUCGCUUCUUUCACGCUGAGAAAAUGGCGGCUUCUCGCACUGGAGACGUACGAUUUUAACGUGACGCGCGUGCUCUCCUUUUUCAGGAUUCUGAUGAAUAGCUUUUAUUUGAAUUUGUUGCAGUUUUUACAAUUUAAUGCAUCCCUAUUGAAUAAAUGAAUUUAUUUAUUUCAACAAAAGAAAUUCUUAGGAGUAUUUACUGGAAAAUGGCAAUAGAGAGUCUGUGUUUUUAUGUUGAGGUGAAUUUAUUGACCUCUCUCUUCUUAAGACGCAGAAAAUAUUCCCAUACACAAGCCUUACAAUCUAGAGGAACUGAAAGAAAACUCGUGAGGGACGCAUUGAAUAUGGAUGAGCGACAUAAUGACCCAACCAGAGGGCGUUGUCUAAACUAUAAAAACAGUGCAAUCAGAAAGCUGUGAUUGUCAAAACACAAGACAGGACAACAAAAUAUAGUAAUGGUAUGAUGUGAUAAUACUUACCUACUGUAGACUGUCUGCUUAGAUAGCUGUAAACCACAAAACUAUCUUUUUUUUCUCCCUAGGCAUUUGCAGCACUGAAGAAUUGGACGAGAACAAGAAAAUGGCUGAAACAGAGAGUCUAGCUGACUGGAUGGCUAACCUUAAAGAGAAAUUUACAAAAAUUCCCUUGAGCCAACUUGCUAUUCCAGGUAAGUAAUGUGAAUAUUAACAACAGCUGUCAGACUAUUAUGUAAAGCUGUCAGAUAUUUAUAACAGCUUCCUACUUUUUGCUAAUAUAUUAAUUAAGCCCUGAAGGCAUUUUUGGAGUUGUUUUGUCUGAGUGACACACAAAAAAGUAAAGACUCAUAACUCCAAAACUAUAGCAAGGAGAGUCAAAAGGUAGGUAUCAUUUGUUAGAAAACUUUUUAUAUUUUUAGAAAAUGUAAAUGUUUAUUACAUUUGGACAAUCUAAUGCUGAGAAACUGCUGAUAAAAGAGAAAAAUAUUAUUAAUUUUUUUAUAAUUUUACAUAUCUUUCUUAUUUGACAUGCAAUAACUCAGGAAGGAAAUAAGGUAGAUAAUUUUACAUAUCUUUCUUAUUUGACAUGCAAUAACUCAGGAAGGAAAUAAGGUAGCAAAAUAAGUCUGCAGCUGGAUCAAAUUUUAUGAUGAUAGCAUAAAGUAAUCAAAAGUUACAGCACUUGGAACAAAGGUAGCCUUUUUGUUCAGUCCUUGACACCUAGAAAGCAUUUUUAAAACUGUUGUUUUCUGAGUGACAUGCACACAUUUAAAGACUCAUAACUUCAAAAACUAUAGAGAGGAGAGUCAAAAGGUAGGUAUCAUUUGUUAGAAAACUUUUUGUAUUUUUAGACAAUAUACACUUUUAUUACAUUUGGACAAUCUAAUGCUGAGAAACUGCUGAUAAAAGACAAAAAUAUUAUUAUUUUUUUUUUUUAUAAUUUUACCUAUCUUUCUUAUUUGACAUGCAAUAACUCAGGAAGGAAAUAAGGUAGCAAAAUAAGUCUGCAGCUGGAUCAAAUUUUAUGAUGAUAGCAUAAAGUAAUCAAAAGUUACAGCACUUGGAACAAAGGUAGCCUUUUUGUUCAGUCCUUGACACCUAGAAAGCAUUUUUAAAACUGUUGUUUUCUGAGUGACAUGCACACAUUUAAAGACUCAUAACUUCAAAACUAUAGCAAGGAAAGUCAAAAUGUAGGUAUUAUUUGUUAGAAAACUUUUUGUAUUUUUUAGACAAUAUACACUUUUAUUACAUUUGGACAAUCUAAUGCUGAGAAACUGCUGAUAAAAGACAAAAAUAUUAUUAUUUAUUUUUUAUAAUUUUACAUAUCUUUCUUAUUUGACAUGCAAUAACUCAGGAAGGAAAUAGGGUAGCAAAAUAAGUCUGCAGCUGGAUCAAAUUUUAUGAUGAUAGCAUAAAGUAAUCAAAAGUUACAGCACUUGGAACAAAGGUAGCCUUUUUGUUCAGUCCUU